CCUACGGGAGGCAGCAGUGAGGAAUAUUGGACAAUGGGCGCAAGCCUGAUCCAGCCAUGCCGCGUGCAGGAAGACGCAUCUAUGGUGUGUAAACUGCUUUUGUACGGGAAGAAACACUCCCUCGUGAGGGAGCUUGGCGGUACCGUAAGAAUAAGGAUCGGCUAACUCCGUGCCAGCAGCCGCGGUAAUACGGAGGAUCCAAGCGUUAUCCGGAAUCAUUGGGUUUAAAGGGUCCGUAGGCGGUUUAAUAAGUCAGUGGUGAAAGCCCAUCGCUCAACGAUGGAACGGCCAUUGAUACUGUUAGACUUGAAUUACUAGGAAGUAACUAGAAUAUGUAGUGUAGCGGUGAAAUGCUUAGAUAUUACAUGGAAUACCAAUUGCGAAGGCAGGUUACUACUAGUGGAUUGACGCUGAUGGACGAAAGCGUGGGGAGCGAACAGGAUUAGAUACCCUGGUAGUCCACGCCGUAAACGAUGGAUACUAGCUGUUGGGCGCAAGUUCAGUGGCUAAGCGAAAGUGAUAAGUAUCCCACCUGGGGAGUAACGUUCGCAAGAAGUAGAACGUUACAANAGAGUUAGAGGCGNGAGACGNGCGACGGACGACGACGAGGGAGGAGG
rnacentral:rRNA from 1 species